GACGAACGCUGGCGGCGUGCCUAAUACAUGCAAGUAGAACGAGUUGCGAACGGGUGAGUAACGCGUGGUAACCUGCCUCAUAGCGGGGGAUAACUAUUGGAAACGCUAGCUAAUACCGCAUACUGUGAGAUGGACCUGCGUUGUAUUAGGUAGUAGGUGGGGUAACGGCUCACCUAGGCGACGAUCCCUAGCUGGUCUGAGAGGAUGACCAGCCAAACUGGAACUGCGACACGGUCCAGAAUCCUACGGGAGGAAGCAGUGGGGAAUAUUGCACAAGGGGCGCAAGCCUGAUGCAGCCAUGCCGCGUGUAUGAAGAAGGCCUUCGGGUUGUAAAGUACUUUCAGCGGGGAGGCGUUACCCGCAGAAGAAGCACCGGCUAACUACGUGCCAGCAGCCGCGGUAAUAC
rnacentral:rRNA from 1 species